GACCCUCCCUUGUCUGCCUCCCACAGUGCUGGGAUUAUAGGCAUGAGUCACCACGCCUGGCCAUAAUAGUUGUUUUUUGUUUUUUGUUGUUGUUGUUGUUGUUUUUAAGACUAGAAUGAAAUUCACAACAGUAAAGAACAGAACUGAAGAAAAUAAGAAAAAGAAAAAAGGGGGUGAGGGAGAAGGAAAAGAAAAGAGAGCUUGAAAAGGUAGAGAAGGUAAGACUCCAGGAAUUCUAAAGACUACCAAAAUGUGCAGAUCUAUUUUAUGUGCUCUGCAAUGACAAAACAAAAAAAUCUCCAUGUGAGUUUGACCUAUUUUUGCCAUGUCUACUGGAAUAUAGCUGUAUAAACCUAACUUCAAAAAGUAGACACUUUUUUUCAGACUUUCUCCUUUGUAAAACAGGAAUUCUCACAAUGGCUUUAAUCAUAAUGUUACAUGUAAUGUGCAAUAAUGGUGUUUGGUAAGAAUAUUUGAAAACAGUCCAAUGAAGUUACAAGUUUGUAGGUAUAGACAGUGUUUAUCUGGAGGCAAAACCCACUUAAAAUAUUUCUUAGUGCUUUUUACCUCCUGCCAUGAUUCUGAGGUCUCUCCAGUCAUGUGGAACUGAAGAAGAUAUUUCUCUUUUUAUGAUGGAUGAAAAAUAAAUGGAAUUUGACUACAAGAUGAGUAAGUAGCCCAAUGUAUUUUCAGGUAGCUAUUAAUAUAUCACAAUUUGAACAUGAUUUUUCCCAAAUCAAUGGAUAGCAGGGAGUACAUAUUGAAAUAAUUGUUUUUAUUAUCUUAGAAUAUGAGUAUUUCAUUUACCUAUGUCAAAUUUUUAGUGUUAUCACCAAACCCUCUA
rnacentral:lncRNA from 1 species